AUGCCGUCAUCGUCCAGGUGGCUGCGGGAAGGCUGGUCAGGGCUGCCAGUUGCAGACGCCCUCCCCGAGUGGCUGUGCAGCCACUUGUGAUGCAAGUUCCUCGAGUGAUAUUCUCCAUCUGCCCCUCAGCUACUCCAGCUGCAACAGACAGCUCGGCGCCACCCAGCACUUUGGCUGGCUUCCCCAGGCUGUCAGGAUCCAGAAGCUCCUCUCCAGGACCAGCCAGAGUGCUCAGUUCCAGCGAACGACGGUGCUCCUGCCACUUCUCAUUCAGGCUUGGGUCACUGCUGCGCCGGCUGGCUAGAGGCACUGUGUUCUCGCAGGCGGUGGUCAGAUUGUCAAAUGAUCUAGUCUUUGGUAGCCUAAAGGAAGGAGUUUGGGGGAAAUGAGAAUAUGAGGUUGUUCACAGGGAAGUAGGAGACAACAGGUUUUAACAGGCAGUCAUUUCAUAAAUGGCUCCAUUACGGCUACUCAAGGAGCCAUGGCGCAUCUGGACUAAGGCUCAGACUGCAGAAAGGCAGAGCUCCAGGACGAGUACUUCUAUUCCUCUGGCACCAUCCCUACCCCAUGCCCAACACAUACAAAUAAGCUAAUAGCAAACGCUAUUUUAAAAAGAUAUUCUUCAUGAUACUGCUAUGUUUCUCAAUUAGUGGCAGAGGAAAGUAGCACUGCUGAUCUUCUGAUAUUACAAUAUUUUAAAUUAUUAUUCAUCAGUCUGAAUUCAAUAAAGCUAAUUCAUAGAUCUCAAAGCCAGACUGUCUAUCAUCUGAUGGCAUCUGCCUUUCAAGCCCAGGACAGCAAGUCACAGCAGGGAGGCAGGAGCACAGAGCAGUGGCUGAAACUCCAGCCAGAGGGUCACAAGGAACCCAGAGGAUAUGCUCCAUCACUGAGAAACUGCUCCUCAGAGAUCUAAGAAACAUGUGUGGAACCAAAUAAUGUCAUGAUCUCCAACCAUCCCUGGAUGCAUCCCAACACAGGAGUACACCCACAAAGGACCUGCAGUCUUGGCAUCAGCCCCAGGCUCACCGACUCAGAGGUGGAUCAUCAGGGCUGGUGCCAGGGGCUGGGUAUGGUGCACAGCUGUCGUCCACAGGGGUGGACGGGGAUGGGCAGGGCAGGUACACUGCACUCCACAGCAUCAGGUUACGCACGUGGCACACAGGGUACAGCACCUGAAGAGAGAGCGGUGGACACAGGUUUAAACAACUUCCAACAAGUCUGUUAGAAAUGUCUAGAAAUGAGGGUGAAGAAGCAAGCACCAAGCAGGAACGCCCAGCAGUCCUGCACAAUCUCCAAGGGGCAUUAGCAUGAGUGGAUGCAGCUCUAUCACGGCGGGUGGUGGGUAGACGGGACAUUUUUCACCUGACAGCCUCUGUGGGAAUGAAAAUCUAAAAAAAAUUCUUUAAAUCCACUUCUCAUUAGUUGUUUCUUAGGUCACCUUUAUUGAAUGACUGGCUUUUCUCAACCUAAUUUGUUGCUUUUACCACACAAGAAAAUGAGUCAUUCUAGAUGGUUGAUAGUUCCCUAGUACAAAAGCUUGGCUUCAGAACACAUUGUCAAACCUGUUUUAUAGGAUCAUCUAAAUUAAUGAAGUGAAAAGGAGGAAAUUUUCUUCUGUACUGUUACUUCCCCAGCAGUCACAGGAGAGAGAGAAGCAGUUAGCUUCAAUCUUUCCUUGGACUACUUAACUGUAGUAAGAGGUUUAUUAAUUAAUAGUCCAGCAAAUCAAUAUAACCUCUGAUUAGCUUCCUUGUGACUUUAGAAUUUAAGAUGCAUUAAAAGGAACAUUACUGUGUACAUUACUGUGUACCGAUGCACAGAUAUAAGUGCCUCCUUUUCUCUGCUUAACAGAAAGUGUUCCUUUGAGGAACGAAGUCUUAAAGGGCCUGCCAGUUCUCCAUGUGAGUAUAGAGGAUCACACAGACACACUGCUAGUGUCACAAACAGUUUUCUGCUGAGACAGAUGCUGUAAUGGGUAUCAUUGCCUGUUGACACUGGAAGGGUGCUGGGGGCCUGCAGCUCCUUCUGAGCUAUCAGGGGCAUCCAGGGAACAACUUAAGUGCCUCCUCCACCUGUUAGACAGAACAUGCUAGAAAUAAGCUCUGGCGGAGGUGCCAGAAAAGAUUCAUGUCUAGAGUGGCAAAGUAGAGAUGUUUGCUAAAUCAAACCACCCUGAACAAAGAGCAGUCAGAAGCAGGGCAGAAUAGCCAGAAAACAGGCCUUUCUCAGGACAAAGUAGUUGGGAAAAAAUGGAACUACUCCAUCCAGAGACAACUGAGAUGCCUUCGAGAAAACAGUCACUUCUCAAAAAAGAUCCCAUAUGUCCCCAUCCCCAAAUUCAUUCUGCUGAUGAGGGAGAAAAGACUAAAGAAUACAUACGGCUUCUGACUGAGAGGAAUACAGUAGGUUUUUGAAAGCCUUGUUGCCCGCCCGAAGCAGCGACCACACAGAACACGUCCGUUCCUGAGUAUGUUUUUCCCCUCUCUCCUUGGCGUUGUUGCACAGGAAUGUUCCAAACAGGCAGGAAUAGGUAUGCUGCACCAGUUUCACCUAUGGGAGUCCAAUAUGAGGCAAAAUCAAACAAUGGGUACGCAUUUUCUGGGGGAAGGUCAGCCCAGCUAAGCCACCUUCCCCGACACCCCUGAUGUGCACUUCAGUUCACGCUUGGUAAGGAUGGGGGACCCAAGUAAGCCACCCAAUCGCAGACUCCUCAUAACCCCAGCCACCAUCACUCCUGAGUCAAAACGGCAAAGACAGGGUGUUGGCACCCCCAUCCUCUUGGCCUCCCUUGUAAACAGUCUCCAAGGUCCCCAGUUAACAGCUACCCAUAUAAACUGGGCAUAGGAGCAGGUCAGUGUGCAACCCAAGUCUGAACUUCUAAACAGCUUUUCAUUCAGCAAGUUGCUAUUGAGCAUCUCACAUACCCCAAAUGUUUCUGUGGGUGCUGGACAGGCAACAGUGAGAAGACGGCUCUCCUGCCCUGGUAGAGCUCGCUCUGGCUGUGGGGGUAGGGGUGACCAGUGCUAUGGACAACAAUAAGGCAGGGUAAGAGUGGCGGCCAGAGCACAUGCAGGGCAGCGUAAGAAGGCUCACUGACCUCUAGAGACCUGAUGGAAAUGAGAGAGCAGAUCAUACCAGCCGGGGGUGGGAGAGGAGGCUGCUCCAGGCACAAUGGCCUUGAGGUGAGCACAGGAUUGCAACUUCUGAGGAACUGACAGACAUUGCAUGAGGUGGAGGAUGGGCAGACAUUGCAUGAGGUGGAGGAUGGGAGGAAAUGAGCCUGGACAGGCUUGCAGGCCAUUUUAAGGACUGUGGAGAGAGCCUUGGAGGCCUUGCAGGAGGGCCUUGCAGGCCAUUUUAAGGACUGUGACUUAUCCUGUGUCAAAAGCAGAGUCAUUGGAGGUUUCUUGACAGAGGAAUGAUACGGCCUGUAUCAUGUUUUAGAAGGAUUCCUCAGGCUGCUAGACUGACUCGGGAAUUGGGGCAGGAGAUGUGGUGGCUUAGACUAGUGUUGGGAACAGCACAGGUAGCAAUAAGUUAUCAGGUUUUAGAUAUAUUUUUAAAGCAGAGCUGCAGAAUCUGCUGACAGACUGAAUAUGGAAUAUGAAAGAAAGGAGAGUUGAGGAUGACAUAAAAUUUUUGCCCUAAAUGAAUCGAAGGUGUGAGUUGCCAUUUGGUGAGAUGGAAGACUUCUGGAAGAUAAGUUUUGGGGUGGAGACAUAUGGAAAUCAAGAACUGAGUUCUGAAUGAGUUAAGUUUGAAAUACCAUUAAGACAUCCAAGUGGAGAUACUGAGUAGUCACAAGUGGAUGAGAGCCUGGAGUUAAGUGGAGAGAGAGAUCUGAGCUGAAGACGUAUACAUGUAGGAAUCACAGAGAGCAAUAAAAGCCAACAAACUGGAUGAAAUCCCUAGAGAAGGAGGCUGAGCCCUGGGGCACUCCCAGCAUUCACGAGUGGGGAGGGAAGGAGGAACCAGCAAAGGAGACAGAAAGGACCAGUUGGUGAAGCGGAGAACUAAGACUGUGCUGGAAGUCAUCUGAAGAAAGUGUUUCAAGAAAGGAGUGAUUAAAUUGUGCCAAAUUUUAAUGAUGGAUCAAAGAAGAUGAAGGCAGUCAAAAGGUACAAACUUCCAGUUAUAAAAUAAGUAAAUCGUGGGAUGUGAUGUACAGCAGGGUGACUGUAAGUUAGGAAUACUGUACUGUAUAUUUGAAAGUUGCCAGGAGAGGACAUCUUAAAAGUUCUCAUCACAAGAAAAAAACUUCAUAACUAUGUAUGGUAACAGAUGUUAACCAGAAUUUUGUGGUAAUCUUUUAGCAAUAUAUACAAAUAUCAAAUCACUGUUGUAUACCUGAAACUAAUAUAAUGUUAUCUAUCACUUAUACUGCAAUUUAAAUAAAGGGUGAUUGAAAACUGA